CAGACACUGACUUGCCUUGCAACUAGGGGGAUUUGAAUCACUCCUAAAGAAAAAUGUCCAUAAUUGGGUGAGGAUCAUACUGGGUUUGGUAACACCUGCAAAAAGCUGCAAGGCCUUCUUUUUAAAAGAAGAUGCUUUCUGAUGACUCCAGCCUCAUCCAGCUUGUGAUGCUACCAGGGAGCUGCCAAGACCUGGAGUACCCAACUAGCCUGGAAGAACUUGUCUGAAAACUUUGGUGGAGCUUUUCAGAAUUACAAGGCUCUAGAACAAGGUGGGGUGGAUCUCCCAGAGCUUGUACCUUGUACUUAAAAAUGAACGCUCCAACCGGCUUAUUUUCCAAAUGAGGCAUCCAGGGCUCGACGUGGUAAUGAACUUGUCUGAGAACACACUGUCAGCUAACACACCAUUUUUGUUUGAUGCCACACUUGUGACGUUUGGAACUAACAGAAAGCCUGCCUUCAAAGAAAAAGCUCUCCUGGCUCCUCUUCAGAGAAGGCUAUUCUCACACAAGGCUCACCUGUGAGGCUGCAGGACCAAGAGCUCCCUGGGUCCACAAACCAGACCUGCCUUUGCAGCCACUCCUGUUGGGGUUGUGGGUUACUGGCUGCACUGUGUUUUGGUGCAGAUUUUAAGGCAUAUUUUUAUAUACACAUUUUCUCAAAAGUCCAAAUUUGGUGUCAGGUUUUAUAUAUAGGUCACCAUAAUUUGUAUUACGUCCCCUCAUUCAA